GGAAAUAAAAGUCGUAACAAGGUCUCCGUUGGUGAACCAGCGGAGGGAUCAUUACAGGACUCGCAAGACUCCUACACCCCUGUGAACUUAACUAUAAGCACGUUGCUUCGGCGGGUGUCUCGGAGGGGGUUCUCCCUCCCCGAGACGCUAAACCCGCCGGCAGCCUACUAUACUCUGUCUCUUUGCGUUGGCAUCUCGAGUACAAUCAAACAAGUUAAAACUUUCAACAACGGAUCUCUUGGUUCUG
rnacentral:misc_RNA from 1 species